UACUUUUUUUUUUUUUUUUUUUUUUUUUUUUUUUUUUUUUUUUUUUUUUUCACCAAUGAGGG
rnacentral:ribozyme from 1 species